rnacentral:rRNA from 1 species
AUUGAACGCUGGCGGAAUGCUUUACACAUGCAAGUCGAACGGUAGAGGGGGCAACCCCUUGAGAGUGGCGAACGGGUGAGUAAUAUAUCGGAACGUGCCCAGUCGUGGGGAUAACGUAGCGAAAGUUACGCUAAUACCGCAUACGAUCUAAGGAUGAAAGCGGGGGACUCGCAAGAGCCUCGCGCGAUUGGAGCGGCCGAUAUCAGAUUAGGUAGUUGGUGGGGUAAAGGCUCACCAAGCCAACGAUCUGUAGCUGGUCUGAGAGGACGACCAGCCACACUGGAACUGAGACACGGUCCAGACUCCUACGGGAGGCAGCAGUGGGGGAAUUUUUGGACAAUGGGCGAAAGCCUGAUCCAGCAAUGCCGCGUGCAGGAUGAAGGCCUCGGUUGUAACUAGCUUUGUUACGGUAACGAAA